GGAUGAUAUCGACAAGCUCGAUGGCCACAAUGAACCAGAUGUUGUCGACUACAUGGAGGACAUCUAUAAGUACUACAAGGCAGCACUGGACAUUCAAGAGUGAGUUGUUUUCUGUGGCCAGAAAAAGAAACAAUUCCAGUGAGAUACUUGUAUAAUUCAUUUGAUGGCUCUUCUUUUCCUCAGGCUAUUCUUUUCCUCAGGUUCUUAUUGAUCUCUUCUUUGCAUGAGCUUCUGAACACACAUCUAAAGCUUCUAAGAAGCAAAUUCCAUACUCUAGCAGUGACUUGCUUUCCGGUGUUUUGGUGGGAGAAAAUUUUCAGAAGCCAAGUUGUGCUGGACAUAGAUAUACUACGCCAAGGAGCUAAAAAAGGCUAUGGUUUUAUGAGUUCUCA